GAGGGUUUAGCUCAGUGGUAGAGCGCAUGCUUGGCAUACACGAGGUCCUGGGUUCAAUCCCCAGUACCUCCA
rnacentral:tRNA from 1 species